rnacentral:tRNA from 1 species
UUAGGUUUAGUGUAAAGUGCACAUAAAAUUUUGAUUUUUAAGGAAGAAUACUACCCUAAA